rnacentral:rRNA from 1 species
UCCGUAGGCGGAUUGAUAAGUCAGAGGUGAAAUCCCACAGCUUAACUGUGGAACUGCCUUUGAAACUGUUAGUCUUGAGUUAUAUGGAAGUAGAUAGAAUGUGUAGUGUAGCGGUGAAAUGCAUAGAGAUUACACAGAAUACCGAUUGCGAAGGCAGUCUACUACGUAUAUACUGACGCUAAUGGACGAAAGCGUGGGGAGCGAACAGGAUUAGAUACCCUGGUAGUCC